CUCUCGCGCGGCGCGGUGCUCCCGCGCGGCGCGGUGCUCCCGCGCGGCGCGGUCUCCGGACCUGGUCCGGGGCGAGGGCC
rnacentral:tRNA from 1 species